UACGGGGGGGGCAAGCGUUGUUCGGAAUUACUGGGCGUAAAGGGCCAGUAGGCGGCCAACUAAGUCGGAUGUGAAAUCCCCAGGCUUAACCUGGGAACUGCAUCCGAUACUGGAUGGCUUGAAUUCGGGAGAGGGAUGCAGAAUUCCAGGUGUAGCGGUGAAAUGCGUAGAUAUCUGGAGGAACACCGGUGGCGAAAGCGGCUCACUGGACCGAAUCUGACACUGAGGUGCGAAAGCUAGGGUAGCAAACGGG
rnacentral:rRNA from 1 species